rnacentral:tRNA from 1 species
GAAGCUUUAGUUAAUUUCAUAACACUGGCCUGUCAGACCAGAAUGGUAAGUGAAAGUCUUACAAGUUUCG